rnacentral:rRNA from 1 species
AAUCAACGCUGGCGGCGUGCCUCAGACAUGCAAGUCGAACGAUUAAACUUUCCUUCGGGAAAGAUAUAAAGUGGCGCACGGGUGAGUAACACGUAAGUAAUCUACCUUCGAGUGGGGAAUAACAUCGGGAAACCGAUGCUAAUACCGCAUAAUGCAGCGGCACCUUAUGGUGACAGUUGUUAAAGGAGCAAUUCGCUUGAAGAGGAGCUUGCGGCAGAUUAGCUAGNGGUAAGGUAACGGCUUACCAAGGCUACGAUCUGUAACCGGUCUAAGAGGACGGUCGGUCACACUGACACUGAAUAACGGGUCAGACUCCUACGGGAGGCAGCAGUCGGGAA